rnacentral:lncRNA from 1 species
GAGAAAUUGUCCUGCUCAUCUUCUUCGUCGUUUCCUGGUAAUUAUUAGUAGUAUUUCCCUGUGUUUAUAUGCUCAGGUGAUCAGACUAUUUAUGUUGCUAUUAUUAUUAUUAUUAAAAUAGAGAUUUUUAUUUGAAUAUUUUUUGUGGGAUCGGUUUACCUUUAUUGUUCUGGAAUGUUCUUUCUUUUUUUUAGCACUUGCUCGUGCGUGUGAAAUGUUUUUUGCCUUUCCGAGUUUUUUCCGCGAAGUGUUGAAGAAACAAUCAAACAAACUACAUUUAUUUCCGUCCUUCUAAAGAUUAUUAAUUUCUAAAAUACACAAAUUUUAAUAAAAUAGUUGAACGGAUAUUUAUUUCUAAAAGAUACGAAUUUUAA